GGCCUUGUGGCCCAAAGGAUAAGGCGCCUGAUUACGAUUCAGGAGUUUCCCAUGUUCAAAACCUGGUGUCUUUUUUAUGAUAUAAAAUAUAAUUUUUCAGGUUCAAGUCCUGGCAGUGUCG
rfam:Nematostella vectensis strain CH2 x CH6 NEMVEscaffold_25_Cont4526, whole genome shotgun sequence.